rnacentral:lncRNA from 1 species
GAGUUCUGUGCAAGAUUUCAUAUCACGCACAAGCUGUCCUUGGUCGGGCAUCCACAGUCCAACGAGAAAGUCGAAGUAACCAACCGGACUAUUCUGCAUGGAUUGAAGAUUCGACUGAAUGAAGCCAGAGGCUUCUGGGUCGAGGAAUUACACUCGGUCCUGUGGGCGUAUCGAACGACACCCCGUAUUUCGAUCGAAAAAUCUUCUUUCAACUUGGCCUAUGGGAUGGAGGCAAUGAUCCCACUCG